ACGGAGAGCUACGGAAAGAGGAUUCGUCCAAUUGAAGUAGUUUCUUAGUGGCGGACGGGUGAGUAACGCGUGAGGAACCUGCCUUGGAGUGGGGAAUAACACAGUGAAAAUUGUGCUAAUACCGCAUGAAGCAGUUGGGUCGCAUGGCCCUGACUGCCAAAGAUUUAUCGCUCUGAGAUGGCCUCGCGCCUGAUUAGCUAGUUGGUGGGGCAACGGCCCACCAAGGCGACGAUCAGUAGCCGGACUGAGAGGUUGGCCGGCCACAUUGGGACUGAGACACGGCCCAGACUCCUACGGGAGGCAGCAGUGGGGAAUAUUGGGCAAUGGGCGCAAGCCUGACCCAGCAACGCCGCGUGAAGGAAGAAGGCCCUCGGGUUGUAAACUUCUUUUGUCAGGGACGAAGCAAGUGACGGUACCUGACGAAUAAGCCACGGCUAACUACGUGCCAGCAGCCGCGGUAAUACGUAGGUGGCAAGCGUUAUCCGGAUUUACUGGGUGUAAAGGGCGUGUAGGCGGGAUGGCAAGUCAGAUGUGAAAACCACGGGCUCAACCUGUGGCCUGCAUUUGAAACUGUCGUUCUUGAGUACUGGAGAGGCAGACGGAAUUCCUAGUGUA
rnacentral:rRNA from 1 species